GAUUAUGGCUCAGGAUGAACGCUAGCUACAGGCUUAACACAUGCAAGUCGAGGGGCAGCAUUUUAGUUUGCUUGCAAACUGAAGAUGGCGACCGGCGCACGGGUGAGUAACACGUAUCCAACCUGCCGAUAACUCCGGGAUAGCCUUUCGAAAGAAAGAUUAAUACCGGAUAGCAUACGAAUAUCGCAUGAUAUUUUUAUUAAAGAAUUUCGGUUAUCGAUGGGGAUGCGUUCCAUUAGUUUGUUGGG
rnacentral:rRNA from 1 species